rnacentral:rRNA from 1 species
GAUGAACGCUGGCGGCGUGCCUAAUACAUGCAAGUCGAGCGAACAGACGAGGAGCUUGCUCCUCUGACGUUAGCGGCGGACGGGUGAGUAACACGUGGAUAACCUACCUAUAAGACUGGGAUAACUUCGGGAAACCGGGUCUAAUACCGGAUAACAUGUUGAACCGCAUGGUUCAACAGUGAAAGACGGUCUUGCUGUCACUUAUAGAUGGAUCCGCGCCGCAUUAGCUAGUUGGUAAGGUAAAGGCUUACCAAGGCAACGAUGCGUAGCCGACCUGAGAGGGUGAUCGGCCACACUGGAACUGAGACACGGUCCAGACUCCGACGGGAGGCAGCAGUAGGGAAUCUUCCGCAAUGGGCGAAAGCCUGACGGAGCAACGCCGCGUGAGUGAUGAAGGUCUUCGGAUCGUAAAACUCUGUUAUUAGGGAAGAACAAAUGUGUAAGUAACUAUGCACGUCUUGACGGUACCUAAUCAGAAAGCCACGGCUAACUACGUG